AGUAUGAAUAAAUGUAUGCAGUCGCUCUGGAUAAGAGUGCCUGCUAAAUGACUUAAA
rfam:Salmo salar isolate Sally breed double haploid chromosome ssa27, whole genome shotgun sequence.